GGUGGUGUAGCUCAGUGGUAAAGCACUUGCCUGGUGUGUAUGAGGCUUUGGGUUUGAUCCUCAGUACUACAC
rnacentral:tRNA from 1 species